UCGUGAACAUUGUAAACAAUUACAGAUAAAAGACUAACUUGGGCUAAUGAUAAACAGAAAUACUGGUAAACGAGAGCAUUUAAAAUUUCCUUUUUUUAAACAAGGAGUUAGUUCUCUAAUAUGUGGUUCUGCACUAGAAAUGGCAGAAGUUGUUUUUUCUCCGCUCGCCUCGUCUCUCUGCUCCAUGGUCCGGGCUAACGUUAGCUUAGCAUUAGAAGCUAAGACAGGUUUACGCAGCCUUUUUGACGGGUUGUGUAAAACAUUUUUGAAGACAGUCACUUCUAUUAUCUGAUAUUAAUCGGUUCAGAUAAAUAAUACUGUAUGUAGUAAUGACAUAGAAGAGUUGUAGUUCCUCCUUUUACAUUUGCCCUUUAGAUUAUCAGUGUUCAGACUGUCAGUAUCAUAAAUUCAUGUUCGCUAGUAAGUGAUCUGUUGACUCCAUUCUUUGCAUCGUUUUACCAUAAAGUAAAAUGUAUAUGUGGAAUGAACAAGCCUGUCGUCCUUUGUGUUUGGGUGUCCUCUCUGCUCCAAAUUCCUCUCUGCAGGUUAGGAAUCCAGAGACAACUUAGAAACCACACAGCCAAUGCAAUGCAUUUCCAGGAAUCAUGGAGGCUGUUGAGAAAGGAGAGUUUCUGGCUGUGUUUUCCAGAGAUCAGAUCAAGAUCUUCCACCAUGAUUUGAUCAACAUAAGGAUCUGCGACCGAAUGUUCCUGAGGCAGAUUAAAGCUGAAGAUGCAGAAUUUUAGUAACCAGCAGUGAGGGUGAUGGAAGAGGUCACAGUAUAGGAUCAAGAAUGAUAAGAGAGGAGAGGAGACCACUUGAUUGAGUCUUUAAAGUGAUAUUCCUAUAGAUCUUGAUGAAAGUCCUGAAAGAUGAAGGAGUUACCCAGUUUCAGGCUGAGGCCACAAAGGCCAGAAGAAGCCGGAUUUUAGUCCAGCCUGGAGGAUGGAGAAAUGACCCGGCCAGUGGCAGCCUGUUUCAAGUCCAACGCCACAUGUUGUUGUUUCAUUGUCUCUGUUUUUCCCCAUUGUUUUAUAUUGAGUUUCAGUUGAUCCUCCUUCUUGUAUUUGCUUUCCCCCUUUUUUUCUUUUCCUUGUUCUAUUUUGGAAGAGUUGGAGAUGGAACAUAAUAAAAAAGUUUAUCAUAAAAAAGCA